AACGAACGCUGGCGGCAGGCUUAACACAUGCAAGUCGAACGCCCCGCAAGGGAGUGGCAGACGGGUGAGUAACGCGUGGGAAUCUACCUAGUUCUACGGAACAACAGUUGGAAACGACUGCUAAUACCGUAUACGCCCUACGGGGGAAAGAUUUAUCGGAAUUAGAUGAGCCCGCGUAAGAUUAGCUAGUUGGUGAGGUA
rnacentral:rRNA from 1 species